rnacentral:rRNA from 1 species
AUUGAACGCUGGCGGCAUGCUCUACACAUGCAAGUCGAGCGGUAACAGGCCUUCGGGUGCUGACGAGUGGCGAACGGGUGAGUAAUGCAUCGGAACGUACCCAGAGGUGGGGGAUAACGCAGCGAAAGCUGUGCUAAUACCGCAUGUGAUCUGAGGAUGAAAGCGGGGGACCGAGCAGCAAUGUUUGGCCUCGCGCCUUUGGAGCGGCCGAUGUCGGAUUAGCUAGUUGGUGGGGUAAAGGCCUACCAAGGCGACGAUCCGUAGCUGGUCUGAGAGGACGACCAGCCACACUGGGACUGAGACACGGCCCAGACUCCUACGGGAGGCAGCAGUGGGGAAUUUUGGACAAUGGGCGCAAGCCUGAUCCAGCAAUGCCGCGUGCGGGAAGAAGGCCUUCGGGUUGUAAACCGCUUUUGGCAGGAACGAAACGGUGUCCGCUAAUACCGGGCGCUAAUGACGGUACCUGCAGAAUAAGCACCGGCUAACUACGUG